AUUACCUGGAGAUCUUGUUAAAGUGCAGAUUCUGAUUCAGUCAGUCUGAGAUUCUGCAUUUCUGCCAAUCUCCCAGGUGAUACCACUGCUGCU
rnacentral:miRNA from 1 species